GCGGAAACUGAGGUUUUGUUUGAAACUGCUAGUGAGUCGGGUGAAGCUAAUAUGUACAGGAAGUGAGAAUGAGUGGGUUACCAUGGCGAAGAAAAAGGGAAACAAGAUAAGUAAAAAGGAAACCACUAGACUGGUUUUUAGUCGGGAGUGAGAGUUUUGGAUCAACGCUACUUGGGAAGUCAAUUUAACAUCACAAGGAAAAUCUGGAUUGUUUUGAAGGAAAGUGUGGAGGCGGUAAGAGUCACAAGAAGUGGUCUAUAUUUAGAUUUGGUUGUGUGUCUGCGGAGCAGAAGAAGCGUGUUAAGACUCAAAAAUAUAUCUGAGUGAAUUGUUUCCUGUACGGAUUUUCGUAGCAAGGCGCCAAUCAAAGGGGGCUAUUUCUGGUGCGGCGGAAGAAAUACAAGGCAGAGGACAUUACUGAAGACAUCGAUGGAGUGGUUGGUGCCCGUCGACUGACCUGUACGGUGGAUGGAGAAAAUAAAUCACAGGACGUUGGUGGCACCUUAAUUGGGGAGGCGGGCUGGUGGUAAUGGCUGGAGGGGAAUUAGUGGAAUGGUAAUCAACGACGUGUUGGAUGCCAUUCUACCCGCUUAAUUCCAGCCAUUAUUAUGAGGCAGCCUCCACUGAAAUAAAUUCACUUCAUCCAAGCUACUGUUUUUGAUCAGUCUCUCCCUUCUCAUAGAAAGAUAGGAUUCAUGAAAUGCCCUGUAAGAGCUUUUGUGCACAAGCCCCUUUCAGUGUCAUCAAUGUAAAAUACAUGGUCAUUUGGUCAAGUGUGUGCAGAAGGGAAGAGUAUCAUAUGCCAGAUGAAGUGAAAUGCUGCAACUGUGGAGGUGAAAAUGCGCCCGGAUUCCUCGAGUGCCCUGUUAGGGUGGAGGAGAACGAGGUGGCAAGAAGAUUGGAAGGAACGAGUGCCGGUGGAAGAAACUAUGGUAUUCGGAGCCACCACCACUAGUGAAGGUUUCUCAUCAACCGAAGGAUAGUGAAAUGCUACAUGUUAAAAAGGUGGACUUUGUAUUAUUUGUUGGAACGGUCAUAAACUGUACAGGCACAAGCGGAGAAGAAGUCCCCCAAAAAAUUGGAAUCAUUGUGAAUGCCGUUGAAAUUUUUGGGGGUCUUUGUGAUUUCAUGGCAGAGGCCGUGCAGGAAAUCCUGUCGGGGAAUGUACCGCCGUCGCAGUAGCCGACCAGCAGAGCUUGUGACUUCACGCUCCAGACCAGACACUGGGGGCCCGCUUGGAAGAAACCAGGAGUGCAUGCAGUUUUUGCCAAACAAUGAACACGGUGCAAAAGCAACGACUUCGUAAGUGAAAGCCAUGACAUUUGGUUGUAACAUUCCUUUCCAAUUACUGUCAGACUGUGCUUCAAUGUUUUGAACACCACCCAGACACCAGAUGGAGUGAGGGACAACUUAAACCUCAUGCCCUUUACCCAGCAGGCCUGUGACUACAGCACUACAGAUGCCAGGGGCUUGGAUCAUGUACAUAAAGUGCUUCUGUCAAAGAACUCUUACAAAUCUUAAAGAGAGUGUAUGAAAACAAUGGACUCAGGGAGGGAGGAAGAGGAGGACAGGACUCACAGAUGAAUGGGGGAGUAUUCAAAACUUUGAUGCACAGCCUGACAGAAAUUGGAAAGGAAUGUUACAGUGAAAUGUCACGGCUUUCACAUGGCCACAGCCAGGGCAUUUUGCAGUUAAUAUGUACAGUAAUAUUAUUGAACUGAAUCUAAAUGUAUUUAGGUAAUUGAGUGACUACACAGCCAACUGCCCUAUUCCCAUCAGAAAUAAUGAUACAGCAGUGUAUGGUCAAGAAGUGACUAUCAUGUUCAUUUUAUUUUCCUUUGUGCUAAUAUUAAUUGAGACUUUUACAGCGAUAAACCUGCAUGAAUUUGGAUGAACAAGUAACGUGGUGAUGUAGCCUAGCUUGACCCUUCAACAUCUACAGAGCAGCACUUGAAAAUGCGAAUUCACUAAAGCCAUGUGUGCAAUUUCAUUCAAAUGAUAUUUGAACAAAAUUGACCUGUGGGUGUAAAUACCUACCUGUACAUUGAUUGAACCACAGGUUUUCCUGUACAAGGCAGACAGUAAAAUAGGCAUCAGACCUGUAAGUGAGACCAUGACAGAAGUUUGAACUAGAACUCUGGAUACUUUGCUUAACGUACCACCCAGCACUCAUAACUGCCAUUAAAGUUAUAACUUUGACAUGUAAAAAGUACAGAUACAAUUAUUUAAAAAAAAAUCAGAUUCUCCAUUUCAUGACAUUAGUAUGCCCAUUCUCCAGGGUUGUAGUCUCGGUCUCGAGACCACACUGUAUGUCUCGGUCAUUUAGUCAGCCACCAAUUGUGCAAGUUAAAAAGAUGAGAGAGGCCUGUAGUUUUCAUCAUAGAUACACUUCAACUAUGACAGACAAAAUGAGAAGAAAAGAAAUCCAGAAAAUCACAUUGUAGGAUUUUUUAUGAAUUUAUUUGCAAAUUAUGGUGGAAAAUAAGUAUUUGGUCAAUAACAAAAGUUUCUCAAUACUUUGUUAUAUACCCUUUGUUGGCAAUGACAGAGGUCAAACGUUUUCUGUAAGUCUUCACAAGGUUUUCACACACUGUUGCUGGUAUUUUGGCCCACGGACUUUCAACUCCCUCCAAAGAUUUUCUAUGGGGUUGAGAUCUGGAGACUGGCUAAGCCACUCCAGGACCUUGAAAUGCUUCUUACAAAGCCACUCCCUUUGUUGCCCGGGCGGUGUGUUUGGGAUCAUUGUCAUGCUGAAAGACCCAGCCACGUUUCAUCUUCAAUGCCCUUGUUGAUGGAAGGAGGUUUUCACUCAUGAUACAUGGCCCCAUUCAUUCUUUCCUUUACACGGAUCAGUCGUCCUGGUCCCUUUGCAGAAAAACAGCCCCAAAGCAUGAUGUUUCCACCCCCAUGCUUCACAGUAGG
ensembl:lncRNA